rnacentral:rRNA from 1 species
GAUGAACGCUGGCGGCGUGCUUAACACAUGCAAGUCGAGCGAGUGAGUUCUUCGGAACGAUCUAGCGGCGGACGGGUGAGUAACACGUGGGCAACCUGCCUCAUAGAGGGGAAUAGCCUCCCGAAAGGGAGAUUAAUACCGCAUAAAAUUAUCGAGUGGCAUCAUAUGCUAAUCAAAGGAGUAAUCCGCUAUGAGAUGGGCCCGCGGCGCAUUAGCUAGUUGGUGAGGUAACGGCUCACCAAGGCGACGAUGCGUAGCCGACCUGAGAGGGUGAUCGGCCACAUUGGGACUGAGACACGGCCCAGACUCCUACGGGAGGCAGCAGUGGGGAAUAUUGCACAAUGGGGGAAACCCUGAUGCAGCAACGCCGCGUGAGUGAUGAAGGUCUUCGGAUUGUAAAGCUCUGUCUUUGGGGACGAUAAUGACGGUACCCAAGGAGGAAGCCACGGCUAACUACGUGCCAGCAGCCGCUGUAA